CACUGUUCUAAAGUGAUACAAGCCUCGAUACGCGUUUCACUGAAAGCUGCCGGGAUUUCUCGACAGACGCUCCGAAGCCUCGGCACAGAACAUAACAUCACUAUUGAUAUUCCACAAUCCUGUGCGUUCCAUUCCGUGACAGUUAAGCUAAAGAGUAAAGCUGGCAUCUGAAAGUUGUGGUCAGUUUGUGUGUAAAUGUCAUUAAACCGUUACUCUGCCUCAGAAGUCUGUCCGAAAUCAGUUUCGUGAGGUGCCUUCGUGUACAAACGCUGCCUGCAAGUCAUUGCCUGCUAGCCUACCAACCUGCAAAGAGGAAAAGAAACGUUACUCACCUGCUUGGACUCUCACCUGUUACCCAUCUGUCUUCGCCGUCUGCCUCAUCCAUCAGAACUGUAAAGAGAUACAAGGAUCGGUUAUCAACCUGAGCUAAGUCCAGUCAUUCUCAAAGACUCUGAUUGCUCACCAGUUUGCUAUGCAUCUCUCCUCCGCACCAAGCUGUAAAUAAAGCGAU
ensembl:lncRNA